rnacentral:rRNA from 1 species
CCAGCAGCCGCGGUAAUUCCAGCUCCACUAGCGUAUAUUAAAGUUGUUGCAGUUAAAAAGCUCGUAGUUGAACUUCUGAUUAUUGAUAGUUUAGGUACUUGUAUCUGACUAUUGGUAGUCAUCCGUCUGCAAACUUUUACAGCCUUCACUGGUUUGUUUAAGGGAGCAGGCAUUUUACUUUGAAAAAAUUAGAGUGUUUAAGGCAGGCGUUAGCCUGAAUACAUUAGCAUGGAAUAAUGGAAUAGGAUUCUUGUCCAUUUGAUUGGUUAUUGGACUUGAAUAAUGAUUAAUAGGGACAGUUGGGGGCAUUAGUAUUUAAUUGUCAGAGGUGAAAUUCUUGGAUU